UCCCCUUUGUAGGCGGGAAAUAUCGCACGCAGCUCCUCUACCGAAGAUGGCGGCGGCGGGCUGGGCAGUGUCCGGCUCGGGCCGCUGGCCUGCGUUGGCCCGCUGCUGCUGGCGGGCAGAGAUGGUUGCUUACUUCUCUGCACCAGCUGCGAGCAACAGGGAAGCCCAGCAGAGGGAAGACUCAACAAGGAGAAGAAGCAGGACAUCACAGUUCAUAAGAUCGUGAACUUCAGCUUGGGCACUUCACUUCCUGCAGUGAACUCCUGCUUGGGCACUUCAGGCAAUUGAGUUUGAUUUUUGAACUCUUUCCUUCCCCACUUCUUCCCCAACUUGCCAAGGCUUCUUUUGAAAUAUUUCUGAAAUAAUGGAUUUUUAUUACUUAGGCUGGGAAGGGCAUGCAUCCUAACUUUUGAUCACUUCUCUUUUAAAAAUUCCUUGGGAAGUGAGCACUA